UACAGAGGGUGCGAGCGUUGUCCGAAAUCACUGGGCGUAAAGGGCGCGUAGGCGGCUUGAUAAGCGUGCGGUGAAAGCCCGGGGCUCAACCCCGGGUCGGCCGUGCGAACUGUCGAGCUGGAGCACUGUAGAGGCAGGUGGAAUUCCGGGUGUAGCGGUGGAAUGUGUAGAGAUCCGGAAGAACACCGGUGGCGAAGGCGGCCUGCUGGGCAGUGGCUGACGCUGAGGCGCGACAGCGUGGGGAGCAAACAGG
rnacentral:rRNA from 1 species